rnacentral:misc_RNA from 1 species
UCUCCGUAGGUGAACCUGCGGAGGGAUCAUUAACACGUAUCCAAAACGUUUAAACCCAAACCGUGCUCUUUUGUUCCCAUAGGGGGAGGUGACUCGUAAGCCACAGAUGGAUUCUUUUCUUCGCAAGAGGAGAGGUCUACUUACAGUCUAUUGAUCCUUUGAGAUCAGCCGAUUCUCUAUGGCGUAUUAAAGCCAUCUGGUUACUAGUGCCAAACCGGUUCCGACCCGGAGCCUAGUAGCCUUAUUAAACCCAUUUUUUAACCCCUUUCUUAUAUAAACUGACUUUAACUUGUUCUAAGCCGAAAGGUUUGGAUAAAGUAUAUACGAAACGCGAACAACUCUUAGCAAUGGAUAUCUUGGUUCUC